rnacentral:rRNA from 1 species
UACGUAGGGCGCAAGCGUUAUCCGGAAUUAUUGGGCGUAAAGAGCUCGUAGGCGGUUUGUCGCGUCUGCCGUGAAAGUCCGGGGCCCAACUCCGGAUCUGCGGUGGGUACGGGCAGACUAGAGUGAUGUAGGGGAGACUGGAAUUCCUGGUGUAGCGGUGAAAUGCGCAGAUAUCAGGAGGAACACCGAUGGCGAAGGCAGGUCUCUGGGCAUUAACUGACGCUGGAGGAGCGAAAGCAUGGGGAGCGAACAGG